UACAGAGGGGGCAAGCGUUGUUCGGAAUUACUGGGCGUAAAGGGCGCGUAGGCGGCCUUCUAAGUCGAACGUGAAAUCCCCGGGCUCAACCCGGGAACUGCGUCCGAUACUGGAAGGCUUGAAUCCGGGAGAGGGAUGCGGAAUUCCAGGUGUAGCGGUGAAAUGCGUAGAUAUCUGGAGGAACACCGGUGGCGAAGGCGGCAUCCUGGACCGGCAUUGACGCUGAGGCGCGAAAGCCAGGGGAGCAAAGCGGGAUU
rnacentral:rRNA from 1 species